rnacentral:rRNA from 1 species
AGUGAACGCUGGCGGUAGGCCUAACACAUGCAAGUCGAACGGCAGCACAGUAAGAGCUUGCUCUUACGGGUGGCGAGUGGCGGACGGGUGAGGAAUACAUCGGAAUCUACUUUUUCGUGGGGGAUAACGUAGGGAAACUUACGCUAAUACCGCAUACGCCCUACGGGUGAAAGCCGGGGAUCUUCGGACCUUGCGCGAUUGAAUGAGCCGAUGUCGGAUUAGCUAGUUGGCGGGGUAAAGGCCCACCAAGGCGAAGAUCCGUAGCUGGUGUGAGAGGAUGAUCAGCCACACUGGAACUGAGACACGGCCCAGACACCUACGGGAGGCAGCAGUGGGGAAUAUUGGACAAUGGGCGCAAGCCUGAUCCAGCCAUACCGAGUGGGUGAAGAAGGCGUUCGGGUUGUAAAGCCCUUUUGUUGGGAAAGAAAAGAAGCAGGUUAAUACCCCGCUGUUCUGACGGUACCCAAAGAAUAAGCACCGGCUAACUUCGUG